rnacentral:rRNA from 1 species
UAUCUCUGUAGAGUCUGCAUAUCAAUAAGCGGAGGAAAAGAAACUAACUAGGAUUCCCUCAGUAACGGCGAGUGAAGCGGGAAGAGCUCAAAUUUGAAAUCUUCAAGGUUCUACCUUGACGAAUUGUAGUUUAAAGAAGUGUUUUCUGUUGGAAUUUUGGUAAAAGUUCUUUGGAAUAAGGACAUCAAUAGAGGGUGAGAAUCCCGUAUUUGACCAUUAUUUCCAGCUUUGUGAUACACUUUCAAAGAGUCGGAUUGUUUGGGAAUGCAGUCCAAAAUGGGUGGUAAAUUUCAUCUAAAGCUAAAUACUGGCGAGAGACCGAUAGCGAACAAGUACCGUGAGGGAAAGAUGAAAAGAACUUUGAAAAGAGAGUUAAACAGGUACGUGAAAUUGUCAAAAGGGAAGCGUUUGACACGAGUGUUGUUUUCUCGAAAAUCAAUUAAAAAUGGCGGGAUUUUGUGUUGUAUUGACUUUAUCAGCUUUCUGCACUUUUUUCUUGUCUUUUUUAAUGCACUUUUCGUUUAACAAGUCAACAUCAGUUUCUUUUGUUGUAAAAGGUCAUUGGAAGGUGGCUUUCUUUUCGGAGAAAGUGUUUAUAGCCUUUGACUUCUGCAAUCGGAGAGAUUGAGGUCUGCAGCGUAGAUCCUUCGGGGUUAGAUGCAUUUGUGCUAAGUUAUAGCCUUUCAUAGACAACUUGUUGACUAUGAUCAGUCAUGUAGCUUACUCGCUUAUGUUAUUUUACCUACGCUUAGGAUGUUGAUCUCUCACAGUCGAGC